UUGGGUUUUGCUGGUGAAGCACUUUCUUGUAUUCGACUGUGAAGUUGUCAAGCUCUUCCGAUUUCGGAAUAUGAGGUUUUACACCUAUAACUCCUUGCAUAUCUUCUUCCAUAACUGAACGAUCAAUUGAAUUUAACUCGUUUGUCAUGCCAUCAGUGAUGAUCCACGAGUAAUCUUCGCUCAUCAUUCCCAGUAGUUUAGCUUUGGUGAAUAGGCGAGAACCAAGACCAGUCAGCAUGUGGACAAUGAAAAUUCUAGUUUGCAUUGUCAUAAGCUUGUAAAGCUCUGCAACAAUCUCAUCAUCUGUUGCUGAUGAUGGGAUGGCACUCCUGUAAGGUAUGCGCACAUUUACCUGUUCCAAGGCAUCUGCUAAAUAUGGUAUAAUCCCUUCUCCAAAUUCAUUGUCCACAUAGAUUGGCACAACUUCUCUCCAUCCAAAGGCUUG
rnacentral:lncRNA from 1 species